ACAACCUUGUAAGAGAAUGUCUGUCAAUGCUUUCAGCAGAAUUUAGAAACACAACACUUCCUAAACAGAUAUUUUGAGGCUGUGAGGUUGAACGUUUGAGAGUAUAUCAGUGUGUUUGUUUGUGGUCUUUCUGUUUCUAGGUGGAAGCUGAAUUAGUGAGGAUGACUCCUGCUCCUGUCAUCUCUAAGCUCCUCACACAUCUUUACCUGCACAUGAGGAAAAUCACUCCUGUAGAAUGCAGAUGCACAAUGAGGGACGUCUGCAGAGACUGAGAAAGAGUCUCACCACAUCCUGACAUGAGGAAAAAGAUUUUAUUGAAGACUACAAUGAGAAAAACUAUCAGACAGCAGACGGCUGCAUUCAAGGUGAGCUCUGAACAUUUGAUCUGGAACAGGAAUUCAAUCACGGCAGCAUGAGCUUCAUUUCAGUCUGUAGCUGCUGAAUUCAUGGAUGAAUCAUCUGGCACUAGAGAGGAAGACCAUCAAACACCACGUCAGCUGAUGGAGGUCCAAGAGUCUCACCCAACAAACAACCUACAGAGUGAAGACCUCCAAUCUGAUUGGACGGCCUCCUAUUCAGCCACGUGUGAACAAAUGCCUCUAAGCUGAUUUGUUUUCUAAAAUAAAUCUAGUUUGAGUCCUAA